AUUGAACGCUGCGGCAUGCCUUACACAUGCAAGUCGAACGGUAACAGGUCUUCGGAUGCUGACGAGUGGCGAACGGGUGAGUAAUACAAUCGGAACGUGCCCGAGUCGUGGGGGAUAACGAAGCGAAAGCUUUGCUAAUACCGCAUAAGAUCUAAGGAUGAAAGCAGGGGACCGCAAGGCCUUGCGCGAACGGAGCGGCCGAUGGCAGAUUAGGUAGUUGGUGGGAUAAAAGCUUACCAAGCCGACGAUCUGUAGCUGGUCUGAGAGGACGACCAGCCACACUGGGACUGAGACACGGCCCAGACUCCUACGGGAGGCAGCAGUGGGGAAUUUUGGACAAUGGGCGAAAGCCUGAUCCAGCCAUGCCGCGUGCAGGAUGAAGGCCUUCGGGUUGUAAACUGCUUUUGUACGGAACGAAAAGACUCUGGUUAAUACCUGGGGUCCAUGACGGUACCGUAAGAAUAAGCACCGGCUAACCUACGUG
rnacentral:rRNA from 1 species